UGGCGGCGUGCUUAACACAUGCAAGUCGAACGGAAAGGCCCUGCUUUUGUGGGGUGCUCGAGUGGCGAACGGGUGAGUAACACGUGAGUAACCUGCCCUUGACUUUGGGAUAACUUCAGGAAACUGGGGCUAAUACCGGAUAGGAGCUCCUGCUGCAUGGUGGGGGUUGGAAAGUUUCGGCGGUUGGGGAUGGACUCGCGGCUUAUCAGCUUGUUGGUGGGGUAGUGGCUUACCAAGGCUUUGACGGGUAGCCGGCCUGAGAGGGUGACCGGCCACAUUGGGACUGAGAUACGGCCCAGACUCCUACGGGAGGCAGCAGUGGGGAAUAUUGCACAAUGGGCGGAAGCCUGAUGCAGCAACGCCGCGUGCGGGAUGACGGCCUUCGGGUUGUAAACCGCUUUCGCCUGUGACGAAGCGUGAGUGACGGUAAUGGGUAAAGAAGCACCGGCUAACUACGUGCCAGCAGCCGCGGUGAUACGUAGGGUGCGAGCGUUGUCCGGAUUUAUUGGGCGUAAAGGGCUCGUAGGUGGUUGAUCGCGUCGGAAGUGUAAUCUUGGGGCUUAACCCUGAGCGUGCUUUCGAUACGGGUUGACUUGAGGAAGGUAGGGGAGAAUGGAAUUCCUGGUGGAGCGGUGGAAUGCGCAGAUAUCAGGAGGAACACCAGUGGCGAAGGCGGUUCUCUGGGCCUUUCCUGACGCUGAGGAGCGAAAGCGUGGGGAGCGAACAGGCUUAGAUACCCUGGUAGUCCACGCUGUAAACGGUGGGUACUAGGUGUGGGGUCCAUUCCACGGGUUCCGUGCCGUAGCUAACGCUUUAAGUACCCCGCCUGGGGAGUACGGCCGCAAGGCUAAAACUCAAAGGAAUUGACGGGGCCCCGCACAAGCGGCGGAGCAUGCGGAUUAAUUCGAUGCAACGCGUAGAACCUUACCUGGGUUUGACAUGGAUCGGGAGUGCUCAGAGAUGGGUGUGCCUCUUUUGGGGUCGGUUCACAGGUGGUGCAUGGCUGUCGUCAGCUCGUGUCGUGAGAUGUUGGGUUAAGUCCCGCAACGAGCGCAACCCUUGUUCACUGUUGCCAGCACGUUAUGGUGGGGACUCAGUGGAGACCGCCGGGGUCAACUCGGAGGAAGGUGGGGAUGACGUCAAGUCAUCAUGCCCCUUAUGUCCAGGGCUUCACGCAUGCUACAAUGGCUGGUACAGAGAGUGGCGAGCCUGUGAGGGUGAGCGAAUCUCGGAAAGCCGGUCUCAGUUCGGAUUGGGGUCUGCAACUCGACCUCAUGAAGUCGGAGUCGCUAGUAAUCGCAGAUCAGCAACGCUGCGGUGAAUACGUUCCCGGGGCUUGUACACACCGCCCGUCAAGUCAUGAAAGUUGGUAACACCCGAAGCCGGUGGCCUAACCGUUGUGGGGGAGCCGUCGAAGGUGGGACUGGUGAUA
rnacentral:rRNA from 1 species